rnacentral:rRNA from 2 species
GCUUGCUUCUAUGACGUUAGCGGCGGACGGGUGAGUAACACGUGGGCAACCUGCCUGUAAGACUGGGAUAACUUCGGGAAACCGAAGCUAAUACCGGAUAGGAUCUUCUCCUUCAUGGGAGAUGAUUGAAAGAUGGUUUCGGCUAUCACUUACAGAUGGGCCCGCGGUGCAUUAGCUAGUUGGUGAGGUAACGGCUCACCAAGGCAACGAUGCAUAGCCGACCUGAGAGGGUGAUCGGCCACACUGGGACUGAGACACGGCCCAGACUCCUACGGGAGGCAGCAGUAGGGAAUCUUCCGCAAUGGACGAAAGUCUGACGGAGCAACGCCGCGUGAGUGAUGAAGGCUUUCGGGUCGUAAAACUCUGUUGUUAGGGAAGAACAAGUACGAGAGUAACUGCUCGUACCUUGACGGUACCUAACCAGAAAGCCACGGCUAACUACGUGCCAGCAGCCGCGGUAAUACGUAGGUGGCAAGCGUUAUCCGGAAUUAUUGGGGGGUAAAGCGCCGCCCAGGCGGUUUCUUAAAUUCUGAUGUGAAAGCCCACGGCUCCACCCUGGAAGGUCAUUGAAACUGGGGAAACUUGAGUGCAGAAGAGAAAAGCGGAAUUCCCCGUGUAGCGGUGAAAUGCGUAGAGAUGUGGAGGAACACCGGUGGCGAAAGCGGCUUUUUGGUCUGUAACUGACGCUGAAGCGCGAAAGCGUGGGGAGCAACCAGGAUUAGAUACCCUGGUAGUCCACGCCGUAAACGAUGAGUGCUAAGUGUUAGAGGGUUUCCGCCCUUUAGUGCUGCAGCUAACGCAUUAAGCACUCCGCCUGGGGAGUACGGUCGCAGACUGAAAUCAAAGAAUUGACGGGGGCCCGCACAAGCGGUGGAGCAUGUGUUUAAUUUGAAGCAACGCGAAGAACCUUACCAGGUCUUGACAUCCUCUGACAACUCUAGAGAUAGAGCGUUCCCCUUCGGGGGACAGAGUGACAGGUGGUGCAUGGUUGUCGUCAGCUCGUGUCGUGAGAUGUUGGGUUAAGUCCCGCAACGAGCGCAACCCUUGAUCUUAGUUGCCAGCAUUUAGUUGGGCACUCUAAGGUGACUGCCGGUGACAAACCGGAGGAAGGUGGGGAUGACGUCAAAUCAUCAUGCCCCUUAUGACCUGGGCUACACACGUGCUACAAUGGAUGGUACAAAGGGCUGCAAGACCGCGAGGUCAAGCCAAUCCCAUAAAACCAUUCUCAGUUCGGAUUGUAGGCUGCAACUCGCCUACAUGAAGCUGGAAUCGCUAGUAAUCGCGGAUCAGCAUGCCGCGGUGAAUACGUUCCCGGGCCUUGUACACACCGCCCGUCACACCACGAGAGUUUG